rnacentral:rRNA from 1 species
UGCCAGCCGCCGCGGUAAGACGGAGGGCGCAAGCGUUGUUCGGAUUCACUGGGCAUAAAGGGCGCGUAGGUGGUCUAGUCAGUUGGGUGUGAAAGCCCCCGGCCCAACCGGGGAAUUGCAUUCAAUACUGCUAGACUUGAGAGCAGGAGGGGUGGAUGGAACUCCAGGUGGAACGGUGAAAUGUGUAGAUAUCUGGAGGAACACCGGUGGCGAAAGCGGUCCACUGGCCUGCUACUGACACUGAGGCGCGAAAGCCAGGGGAGCGAACGGGAUUAGAUA